rnacentral:rRNA from 1 species
UUGAUUUUAAWUUAAAGUYUAAUYUGCCCMMUGAUUUUAUUAAAGGGCUGCAGUAUAUUGACUGUACAAAGGUAGCAUAAUCAUUAGUCUCUUAAUUGGUGACUUGUAUGAAGGAUUUGAUGAAAUAUAAACUGUCUCUUUUUAAUUUUUAAAAUUUAAUUUUUUAGUUAAAAAGCUAAAAUAAUUUUAAAAGACGAGAAGACCCUAUAGAGUUUUAUAAUUGAUAAAUUAUUAUUUUAUAUAAAAUUUUAAAUAAAAAUUUAAUAAAUUAUUUUAUUGGGGUGAUAGAAAAAUUUAAUAAACUUUUUUUAAAAUUUUUACAUUUAUAAAUGAAAAUAUGAUCCGUUUUUAACGAUUAUAAGAAAAAAUUACCUUAGGGAUAACAGCGUAAUUUUUUUUUUUAGUUCAAAUAAAAAAAAGAGUUUGCGACCUCGAUGUUGGAUUAAGAUAAAAUUUAAAKGCAAAANUUUAAAWUUU